UAAAUCAUUUUAGAUUAUUUGAUUCCAUUGAGCGAGCUCUUCUGAGCUGCGCAUUGAGACGAUACGGACGAACCUUAUUCUCCUGCACGUGAUCAAUCCAUUGGAGGGAAUACAAUUAAAGAAGGCAAGGUAAGAUUUGUCUACAAGAAACAAUCAGUCGGAUAUGAUUUGUCAUUUCGGCGUAUGGAAAUUACUGCUGGCUCCAUCGAAUUCCUCUCAAUCAGUUUGUGGCGGAAAUUUUUCCAGCGCCAUGUGCAUUCGAUUACAUACGCCAAAAUAAGAAUCAUAUACGACUAAUCGUAUCUUGCCGUCAAGUAUCGACCGAUAUGACGUCAUAGAUAUAGUGUUUCCGAAAAUAAGGAGAUAUACGUUGUCGUAUAGGCGAGUUGUGUCAUGCUUGAUUUACACAGUACAACUCAAGUUGUAAGAAGGUUGCAUGCAUGGGGCAAUGGACCAUUUGUAUUAUAGACUAAAUUUUGAUCUAGACAAGUCUAGACAAAAAUUUCAUCACAGCUUGAAAGAGCAUCACAAAAUUAGUAAUAUUCCAAAGUUUCGUUGCGAAAUAUUGUAAAAUGCGGAUAAUAUAGCCUUGUGAAGUUUGCCGUUUUUCAGUCAUUUUGUAUUACGCAUGGGAAAUUGACAGCCCAAUCGGGUGUUGGGGCAUCAAUUUCCCGUUUGUAAUACAAAAUGACUGAAAAUUGCAAAUUUCGCAAGGCUAUAUUAUCCACAUUUUACAACAUUUCGCAACGAAACUUUGGAAUAUUACUAAUUUUGUGAUGCUCUUUCAAGCUGUGAUGAAAUUGUUGUCUAGACCAAAAUUUAGUCUAUGAUGCAAAUGGUCCAUUUUAGGCAAAUUUUGUGUAGUGUAAUUCGGUCUUUAAAAGGAAAGGAAAUAGUAUAUGUAUCUUAGUUGAAAAUACAUGGAAAUCAACUAUUUUCCAUAACAGACCGAAUUUGCUAUAGCUGGCAAUGAAAGCUACGUAUUUACAAUGGAUUACAUUGUCUGCCUCGAUUUCAAGCUAUUGUUUCGUGUGCGCUCAAGCGAAUUCGGGAAGUGCCCUGCGAACGGGUAUACUCUGCCUGAUGAAAUUAGGGAAUCAUUACGGUCUGCGGAGGAGGAGGUGGGGUCUGUAUUGCCACUAUAUUGCCACUGCAUGUUUCCAUGCUAUAUGAAAAUAGUACCCACUAUGUAUGUAAGUUAUGAACUGGCAUCACAACAAUAUAGUAAUUCUAGGAAUUUCUUAUUUCAAAUAUUCAUGACAAUACUUAAUUACGAGUCCAAUAGUCUCAUCACAUAUUGGUAAAUUAUCAAUAACUCUGACUAAAUCGUUCGUUGGAAUGUUUAAUAACUAUUCAUCAGGAAAUGGUCUUUCUUCUAUUCUUUCAUAAAAUUCCUACCAUUCGUGAAAGUUCACUAAUGCCAAGUACAAAUUGGGUGAAUACAGGGAGUUGGUCGAGCUCUUCUCUUCCGUUCUUUCAUCAGAUUCUCUUCAUUCUUUCGUAUCUCUCUUGUUAAUACAUCAUCAUCCAAAUUUCCACCAUUCUUCUCUUCCUCACGGAGCCAUACCCAUCUUGGUCUCGCCAAACACAGAGUCACGGUAGAUAGCACAAGCAAAACGACCAAGAAAUUCUUAGAAAAUCCCAUGACUUCCGACUCAAGACUUGAUGCGACUUCGCGUGCAGGAGUUCAACUUCUCGAAACUUGAUGAUGUAGGAGUCUUUUUGAUCAACCAAUAUCGUUCACUUUCUAACACAAUGAUGAACUGAACAUUUGACCCGACUUUUAUAGCACAAUAUAGCACACCAGAUGUUCAUAUUUCUGCACCCGUUUGCUAUACCAACGCCAUAAGAUAACGGUUAAAAAGCAGUUGAAACCUGAAAAUAUUUCUCUUACUGAUUAGUUAAUUACUUCUUGAGACAUUCGUUUACUAGAAAUCGUCCUACUUUAGGGACUGGUUUAAGAAGACGCUCAAGUCUUACUUAGAAAGUUCCAUCUGCAAACCCAUAAAUAUAUAGGCUAUAGUUGUCGCUUUGGCCACUUGUGAGAAAACGCUUUGAAUGUUGCUAUAUUAUUUCCAUUUUGGACAAGAUGAGAAGCUCUUUGUAACAUUUGUUUCACUUAACGAUUUUUUAUUGCUGAUAUGAUCGAAAAGGAUAGACGCUUGUUUAUAAAUUUAAUUACUGAUAAUAUUUUGUAUGUAUAGGCUACUCAUGAUAAAAUGAUAAAAGAACGGCUGUAUUUAUAUACAAAACGAUCAAGAUAGAUAUAUUGCCUCCGCACGCAAAUAUACAAAUGGCUGAUCGUUCAAAUAUCAAUGCAAUAAUUCUUUUGACCAUUUUUAAACGGGCUAUAUUCCAUAAAAGCAGUCUCACGCCGGGACCAUGCAGUAAUGAUGAAGCAUCUGAGGGGAGGGGGGGGGGGGGGAGGGGUUCAACUCUAUUUCCCAGCCAAUAUUUUGCCUGAUUCCUUCCAUUCCCAGCAGCAAAAGUGCUGGUCCUUCACAUUGCAGCUGCUAUAUCGUCUCCAUACACCUACAAUGGCGCCGGCUGCUCGAAAUUUAGCUUUUAUAUUUAUACUCUUCGUGGGUCCCCUUUGCGGUAGCGAAAAUUAAAAAGCGCCUUAAUAUACGAUCGAAUUAUGUAUAGAAGUUCACACAAGUGUGGGGGAUAUAUGAAUAAAGACAUAUUUUUAAUUUUAGCUAACUGUUAUACCAAAUUAACUUGAGCGAAUGCAUAAUUCGUUUAUACAUACACAAGAUAACAAUGUGAUCAUGCAUAUACUAAAUGGUUUUCACCAGACUCUAUAGGAUCUCGUUAGUCCACAUUGAUCGCAUGUAUGACCUUAAUCUACCUUUGUGCUAAAUUUGGAAAAAAAAUGAAACGUCUUUGCGUUUAAACUAACAUUGUGUUUUCAUGCAUGGUAUUCCGGCAUUUGUUCGCACUCGUAUACAAACAGCCAUUAUUUAUUAAUUUUAUCUUUAGAACAAUCGUUCGUUAUGUGUGUGUGUUAUCAGUUUGAAUUUCUUCUGAAGGAAACGUCUUUUACGCGCGCUAAUUAUUUUUUAAAAGUUAUCCCUAGAUCUUAAUUUAAUUAAUAGAUUUUAUACUGUUUAUUGCACGCACUUUUGACCGAAUUUCCUUGUUUUCAUAGCGGGUGUAUAUGAAGUUAUAUCUCCAUGUUUCCUGCAUGAAUAUGUUUCUCUUUGAUCUUGAACCCAAUCACAAACCUAUAUAUCCUUAAACCUACUGCGUAUGCUUGAAACACAGAAAUAUAAGCGCAUGAAAUCGAGGCCACGCGUUGGGGCAAGAGUGUAUGCAAAUAGUGCAAAAUGUGCACACCAUUGUCUUGUUUUUUUUUUAUUUAGUAAAUUUGGCAGAGGAUUGUUGAUCUUCUUUCGUUUAAGAGUUUAAGUGCCGUUUUGUACACAGCUUGUGGAGUCGCUGUAAAUAAUCAUGCGUCGCCAUGCGCGCAAAACAUAAUAUUUACAAAGUGCACUUGAAACGCUCUGCAUCAUUUAUUAUACAGAAGCUGAAAAUAAAUUCACCAAUGUUUUAAAUAUUUAUUAUAUUUGCACUAAGAACUUUCUACACCAGCCAUUGUUUCAUGGAAACCUAUACACUCUAAAUUCAAAAGAGUUAAAACGACGCGCCAAAGAGUCGUUCUAUGGGAACAAACUAUUAUUUUGCCGUCGUGAAUUAACACUAUAAUCUAUAUCUUGUUAAGAAUAGAUUUAAGUUACGCAUAAUAUCGCAUGUUCAAACGUGUAAAUAUAUAUAUAUAUAUAUUAUAUAUAUAUAUAUAUAUAUAUAUAUAUAUAUAUAUAUAUAUAUAUAUAUAUAUAUAUAUAUAUAUAUAUAUAUAUAUAUUUGAUUCGUGACAGCAAUUAGAGGCGACAACGUCAAAUGAAAAUAAAAUACAGCAACUGUACAUGUUACCCUUAUCAUUUUAUCAUGAGAAUUUUUAUGCGACGUUUUACAUUACAUUAUUCAGCUCAUUCACAGUUGAGAUAUUACUUUCCUAAAUCCUAACCGUGUUUAUCCCUAACCCACCCUGUCAACUUUCCCUUGAAAACCGGAGAAAACCCACGACUUUCGGCAGAGCGUUGACUGACUCUUUUCACAUGAGUCCGUAGCGAGAAUCAAACCCACGAACUCAGAGGUGAAGACGCUUACUCUGAUGACUGCGUCAGUGCGCCACCGCAGCCGAAAUGACUACAGCCCGCGCAUGCACCUGCAUGUGAAAAGUUUUGCGUGACAGUUCUUUUUUAAUGUUUCGUGUUUCCUCGGUGACAGUGUAUAGGUAGCGACGAUAACGUACAGCUGUGGUGUGAGAGAUAUACUACUAUACCUGAACUAAAAAAUAAGCAGAAUCUCAACGUUUCGAGCUGCUCCUUUCGUAGGGAAUGUAGUAUAUUUUUCAGGUACUGCAUGCGUCCUAUCAUAACGCAGCUGCAUGUGUCUGUUUAUAAAAUUUAGUGAGUUCAAACACAACUCUUCAUGUAAUGAAAACGUCAGGAAAACAUGGAGUCCGAUUAUUGAGGUGCAUAUUGGAACAUAUGAAGCUCAACUAAAUAUAAACACUGUAUAUAUGCAUGAGAAAAUAUAUAUAUAUACUCGUUCCUACAAGCAUUUUCUAAUUAUAACUGUAAAGCUCAAAAUAUAUAUUAGCACUGUCUGAGCAAAUACUCGUUUGUAAGCAUUUUCGUAUUUAGACGAAGUUCCUCACGAUUAUCGGAUUUUGUGUUGGUAUCUUGGAUGCAUGUUUUAUAAACAUAAUGAGAAAAAUAUUGAUUGAAAUGACAAAUGUCAUUACUACAUACUGUACAUUUUUCUGCAGCUCACUCCCCAUUGGCUCUUUUCACUGACCGAUUACAUCGAGUAUUACGCUUACUUAUAUUACCUAUACUUAGCCUAUACACGGCAAAAAACGCCGAGCCCGUUGCUCAACAGGACUGAACAAUGUUUUGCUGCCCACGUUGUUCACACUUGUCAACAAUAUCGAACAAUGUUGUUGAGCCUGAAUCGGGUGUAACAAUAUUGUUCAAUAUUGUUGACAGCUAUGAACAAUAGGGCCAUUUAUACAAGCGAAAAUAAGUCGCGGCCUAAAUAUGCCGCGGCUUAAAUAAGUCGCGAACGACCCGUAUAAACAGUCAAUUUGCAAUAAGCCGCGGCUAAAAUAAGCCCAGGUUUGAAAGCUAGGCCUAAAUUAGCCGCGGCUUAUUGCAAAUUGACUGUUUAUACGAGUCGUUCGCGACUUAUUUAAGCCGCGGCUUAUUUUCGUUCGUAUAAAUGGCCCUAAUGUGGGCAGCAAAACAUUGUUCAAUCCUGUUUUCAUCAGUAUUGCAUCAACCUGAGCGUUUUUACGCGUGUACACGCGUAAAAAUUGAGAAAAUCAACAACUUGUUGCAAGUUGAUAUCGACAUGCGUGAACAAGGUUGUGCGGCCCACUAUGAACAGUAUUGUCAACAUGUAACAUGUUGUUACAACAUUAUUCAACUGUAUAACAACUUGGAACAACAUGGUUGACAACUUGUUCAUAGUUGGCCGCACAACAUUGUUUGCACGCCUGUCGAUAUCAACUUGCAACAACCUGUGCAUUUUUAGCCCUGUAGAUUACUAAUCUUUACAAUAAUUGUGAUAUCACUUUCCUAACUAUGUUUAUCCUAACCCACCCUGACAAUUUUCCCUCUGGGAGGAAACCGAAGCAGCUGGAGUAAACCCACAACUUUCUCUGGCAGAGCGUUGACUGAAUCUUUUCAACUCUUUCACAUGAGUCCGUAGCGAGAAUCGAACCCCAUGAUCUCCGAGGUCAGAAAGGUGCUUGCUCUGAAGGCAAGGAAAUUUUUACACAAGGAAUUUUUGCUGCGAUUUGCCUUCAGUCCCUACGCUAACCCAUAAUAGCAAGGCAUGAAUCUAUCAUGCACGCCUUAGUCUUAGAUAAAGAGCCAUAGCCUGGCUACAACUCGCGCACAUUGUGCAGGUGAUGGCGGCCCGCAUUCAGCCGACACUUUUCGUUAUAUAUGUACUUAAGGCAUGAAAGAAUGUUGGGAAAUUAAACAUGUUGGGAAUGCUGUGUUUUAGAUAACAUAUGCCUCUGUAUCCGAAAUCUCGCGUUGCAAGUUACUGAACAUUUUCCUGGUGUAUAACCUUGACGUUACAUUUUCACAGAUCGUAUGUAUACAUUACUGACUAUACAUGAACAAUUUAAUUUGUCAACGAAACUUGUAUAAAUUAAGAAAACGUUGCUCAUUUUUGCGACGUUUAUGCAGUUAUUUGUUGUUUAAAGUUCACAUGAAACGAAAAUGUUAUUGUCUUAUUUAAUAUAAUUAUAAAACUAUAGAGUAACUUUUGCAGUUUUUCCUUCCUUAGCCUCGUUUUCAAGCUAUUUCAAUGAGUUCGGUAUACGUGUCAAGGAUUCUAUAUACGUCGCAAAUAUGCAUAAUGAGUUAUGAGAUUCAGUUGUACAUCCUUACUACUAUCAAACAAAAGCGCAUUAUAAAAGUAUGUUGUGCAUUUGUGUUGUACUCGGAUUCUUCUAUAGACAUGCAUAUAGUAAUUUCAUUUCAUAAUAACAAGAAUAUAUAAUAUUUUCAGUAAACUCAUUAUGCAUUUUGUGAUCGAAACCUUGACCGAUGUAUAUCGAACUAAACUGAAAUGUCUUGAAAACGAAGGAAUAAAACUAUAAAAACUGCAAAGGAAGUUACUCUGUACUUUUUGUAGUUCUUGUAAAUAACUCAAUAAAAAUUUCCGUUUCAUACGCACAGUAAUCAUCUUUGUCAACACAAAUUUCGGCAAGUUCAAUUGACACGACCCCGCGUAAUUAUAUUUCUUCAAUGAUUGACUGGUUAAGUAAGUGUUUGUUCUUUGUGAUGACCUGAUCUGUGUAUAGGGCCAAGGUCCAAGUGCUGUCCUUACCGCAUAAAACAAUAAUCCAUACAUUGUAUACAAACAAUUUUAGUUUCUAAUAAAGUGUUGGGCAUUAUUUACGAAUUUUACUGAUCGCCUCAUUUAAGCCGUUAUAGAAUAAUUGCACCUGUUAUUGCUAGGAUAACAAACGUUCCCAAGACAACCUCGUACCCAGUGCUUUUGCAUUUGUGGCUGUCUGAAGCUCUGGAUACGAGAUUGUUUUCUAAGAUAGUCACAGCCUCAUUCCGGGCCAUUUUUCGCGCGGUUCUAGUGAGUACAUUUUCUGAAUAAUUGUAUUGAAGUAUGGUUGAGAAAGCCGUCAAAUUAUACGCAAUAUUGAAAGUUCUUAUAUAUACCGUAUCAUAUGUGUGUCUGUCAAUACGACGACUUAAAAAACUGUCAAACCUUUUGAUACGAAACUUUGUGGUGAGACUAAUGGUCAUUGCCCAAGGAGAAAUUGAUUAAAUUUCGGUUACAUUUGGUCUUGACAAUUGGAUGAGAAAUUAGCGUAAUUCGCUCAUUGUGUAAUUUAUGCACGAUACAUUACUUCAUUCGACUUCUAGAUUACAUUAUUACAGGCUAACAACAUGGGGUAUAAGUUUAUCUUUAGUAUCCAGUGAACCACGGUUAGUGAACCCAGUCCAGGAGGACAGUGCAAUGGGCAGCAGGGAAAAUAUCAGGUGGCCCUCCUGCACAUCCUGCUGUUCGGGACAGAGGGUGAAGUGUGAAGCUGACCAGUAUGUAGGCUUCACUAUUUUGUAUCAUAGAAUUAGGUUAAUAUAUGUUGUAUAGUGUGCACGGCCCAUUGAAAAUCAGCGUAGCAUGCUGAAUGGCUACCGUGCUUAAAUAAUUUUAAAGAUUAAAGGGUCAAGACUUCGACAACCGCACCUCCCAAGCGCUAAAAAGUACGCAUGCUAAAUAGACCAAGAGCCUUAUGCCCGAUAGCGAGACGUGAACAGGCUCCGAUAUAGUUGUUUAUCAGUCGAGUUUCUCACUCAUUAUUGGUGAGCUGCAUGGGCCCGGUUGUACGAAGGCCGGAUAGCGCUAUCCACCGGAUAAUGAUUCUUUCAAGCUUUGUUAAAUCAGUCGUUGAUUGGUAUAACUCGUAUUAAAGUUAAGUUAAAUGUUUUUUAUACUUCUUGUGUCGUCUAUAUCCGUAGUUUCACAGUUUUUCAAGCAUUUUACAAAGGUUGAAAAAAUCACUAUCCGGUGGAUAGCGCUAUCCGACAUUCAUACAACCGGCCAACGGGCUAUUGGCCAAUUGAUAGGGGAUCCGAGGUACCUACGAUUUGAACGUCCUUAUUCCAGAAGACGCGAAAGUCUAACCAUUUACUGAUGUGAAGGUAGCGCUUUCUCCUCGAUUAUUUAAAGACCCUGAGUGGAGGUCCGACCAACCGGCUUUGUUUUGUUUAGACAUCGUCAAAAAUUCAGAUGUUUUGUAGAAAAUAAAUUUAAAAUUACAAAUGGUACAUGAAACUACGAAAGCUUAUAGAAGAUUAACAAUAUAGGUACUAAAUUUAUUGAAAAAUAUCGCGUAAAGUUUAUAGAAAUUAGUCAAAAUUUUAUAGCAACACAAUUCGGAAAGUGGACUGACCAAAAUUGCCGAAAUCCUGCUUCAGUCGAGGUUGUGAAGUUACCUUGGGGAACGUCUAUUGCAUCUGUUUUCAAUAUUUAUUUCCACAAACAAAAUGUUCUAUAACUAUAAGCUAUAGGAAAUAUUUAUUAUUUAAGCCUAAAUUCGGGUAUAGGCUAUUGCCAUCUGCAAAAAUUCAUUAAUAAUUAAUUUUUUGUGAUAAUUUUACUUUGUCCCACACUUUACUGUAUAGGUGGAAAGCGUGUAAAUAAAUGGACGUGCAUUAAACAUUUUAAGAUUCCAAGUUGAAAGAUCUUAUACUACUUAAAAACUUAACACAUUUAUUGUUCAUGAGCAUAUUAGCCUGUCAAAUCAAUCAUUUAUCCAAUGAUUCCGAUUGAACACGUUUAUGAAAUAUCUUGAUAAAAAGUCCAGAUAAAAUUUUGUAGUCUCACUGUAAGUUGUUAAGACAAGAAACAAUUAAUGCGCGCGUAACACUUUUGUUUUAAACCUGACCCGUGCUGGUUCAUUCAUUGAACAGCACUUACAUUUUCGGCAUGCGUGGCGUCGGUAAAACAAACGUAUCCUUUAUCGUGUCAAAGCUGUAAACACCUGCAGGUCUUUGCAAGCCAAGUAUGCUGCCCUAUAAAAGCCAAACAUUCAAUAUUUCAUUGUGCUCAAAAGUGAACAGUAAAACAUUCUGCUAAAUACAAAGUUGCUGUUGAAGAAGCGUUCGAAAAGCUGAACUCCUGCAAAAGUCAUGAAGAAUUUCUUGGUCAUCUUGCUUAUGUUAUCUACCAUGACCCUGUGCUUGGCGAAGCCGAAAUGGAUAUGGUUCGAUGAGGAAGAGAAGAAUGAUGGGGAUUUUAACGAUGAAGUCUUGACAAGAGAAAAAGGAAAGAAUGAUGAGAAUCUGAUGAAUAAACCCCCGAAGUGUCCUGAUAAUAAUGGUGCACCGUUUUGCCGUUACAAGGGAAAGAGACUAAUUUCUAGGAAUUAAUAUCAUACAGUAUAUGUAAACUAUUCAUGAUAUUGAUAAUAAACGUAUCAAUCGAUGAUUUUUCUCUAAAUAGGUUAUUUCUCAUCUUUCUUUGUUCAUUAGAAUUAACGAAUUAACGGUUACUUGCCCUAUUUCCGGGUUUGUGCGGUCCAUUCCUUUAUAUAAUUGCCUGGCCAUUGCGCGUGUAGUCCAAGCGCUUGCGCACAAGCGCUUUUGGCGAAACCCCAGCUUCGUUUAGUAAACCGAUUUGCUCGUCUGUAACUGGAACAAAACGGGGGAAAUUUGUUUUGGUCUACGGCACGCAGGCGAGUCUGGAGGUGAAUAGUGCAAGGGUAUCCGAAGCUGAGCGACCAAUCAAAUUGCACGGAAAACACUAUCCACCUCCUGAGUAACCUGCGAGCAGGCGUUUACUCCAACCCAAAUAAACACCUGCUCGCAUGGUACUUCACGAAUAAAAGUUUCGUAUAUCUGCUCACCUGCGAACGGGCAUGCUCUGGGACGAGAUUGAUAUCUGCUCAAAUAGUUUUCUUUAACAAGACAUUUUAUUUCGAAAGUGACAAUGAACAGUUUACACCGGGUUUCGACGUCAUUUCCCAAAUAAUUAUAUAACUGAAACAUUUACAUUAAAUUUACCAAAUUGGCAAAUGCAGCGUUACGUUAGAUAAAGUUUUCAAAAAUACUUGAAUGUGUGUUUGAACGACUUAUCAACCAAUUCAACAGAGGAAAAGUCACAUAUAAGAACAGCUUUUACUUUUUUUCCAUUUUCGGUUUUUCCGGCCAAAUAACAGGUAUGAUAAGCGUGUCUUCUCGUUGUCACAUGGGCUGUUCCUUCACUUCUUUGGUGUAAGACGUAGUUACCGACGUUCUUUGACUUCGCAAGCUGACCGAUGUGUGUUGCGUUAAUCUCCGUGGACGGCUGUUUCUUUCUUUACCAACGAAAGCGAGCAAAGUUCGCCUGUAAUCGGGUAGACGUAGGGCAUAUAGAAUUGGGUUAGCCCCAAAAUUCAACAUGGCAAUUGGUACGUAACAAUAGGAGAGGUUAAACAAUGUGUACGCGAUUUCAUCUUCACCAAGGUAGCCCAAUCUCGUUAGAAAAUCCAGUUGUUUCAAUAAGAAAAAAGGAAAGGCGGUGAGGAAGAGAAUCAGCGUAAGAAUCAUCACAGUCUUUGCGAUAUCCUUGUGCUUGGCAUUUUGAGGAUUUCCAGUGCUUCGUCCACUUCGAAUUAUCUCGAACGCAACUUGGAUAUUCAAAACUAUUUGAACGACAAGUGCGAUUUGCAGUACCCCUAUACGAGCUGUCAAAAUUUUUAAGCUAGUACGCCAUUCUGCAGGGUAAAUAAGCCAUACGAUGCAGCUGAAGCCCAACAGACAUGCGAAGAGCCAGAGCGAUAUACAAACUAAUGCAAUCCUUGGCGUUGUGAGGCAGUAGCGACUUUUUAGCGGAUAUUUUGUGAGUAGGAAAAUUUGCACAGCGAAGAAUGUUAACAAUAGGAACGAAGCAGAAACACUAAAUCCCCAGCCAAAAUUAACAAUCCCGAAGUACAGAUUGCUUGGAGUUUUGUAGAAAUAUGUAUCUCCCCACAAACAGAAAGCUGAUAUGCAUGAAAUUAGGUCAGCGGUCGCCAAGUUGAGUAUGGUUACCCAUGGUCCUCUUCGAAGUAUUUUCAAAGGGUCGAUAACAAUGGCAAUGAUUACAGCCAAGUUGAGUAGCAUGCCCACUGCUGCCACAGACAUAGUGGCGAUUCCGAUUUUCGUCAUGUCUUCCCCAGUAAGUUGAUACCUUUGCUGUAUAAGAGAAUAUAAUUUAAAAAAAAUUGUUUCUGGUGUUAUGCACCUAGGUGAAGAUAUAUGUUUGGUGGUGGGAAUAGAACCCGCGACUUUUGGUUUGCUAGUCUGUUGCUCUACUAACUGAGCUAGAGCAUUGGUUUGAGCCACCGACUUGACCUCGUGGCUCAGUUGGGAGAGCAUUAGAUUAGCAAACCAAAAGUCGCGGGUUCAAUUCCCACCGCGGUCAAGGAAAUUUUUUCAGCCUGCCCGGUGUGGACACACUCAGAGACAACAUCAAAGUAAUAAACACCUUAGUUAAUAACAUAGCUGGUUUGGAAACUCACUAGAAUAACAAUAUAACUCAUUAUCUAUGUUAAUCAACGUUUAUUCAUAAAUCUGGUCGUUCACCGUCACGUGCGUAUUGUAUUUUUGCCCAGCUAACCAAUAGCAAUGUCUUAAGAAAGUCACCUAUCCGUGACUCGGACAAUAGGGUAAGUUGGAAAUUGCUAUUGGUGGAUUUGGCAAAAAUACAAUACACACGUGACGAUGAAGGACCAUAUUUAUGAAUAAACGUUGACCAACAGUCCAACAUAGAUAAUGAGUUAUGUUGUUAUUCUAAUGAGUUUCCAAACCAUCUAUUCUAUUAACUAUGUAAACACAAAGUAAUGAUUAUUAAUAAUGCUUGUGAAACUCAUUAAUAAUUCAUGAAGAAAACACAAAACAAAUCAUGAGCGUGAAGGAGUUUAUAUCUGAUACAAAAUCAUCUCAACAAAAAUCAUUUAUUUACUUUAAACUGUUAAACUAAACUACCGCGCAUGCACACACAGCAGUUGCGCUCUAAGCAUGAGGGUCAGCUCAUCACUAUAGAGUGUGCCAAAUACUUUUUUAUGGCAAUCUUCUCUCCCAACAAGGGUUGAUGAUAGAAAGUACUCUUUGUUGCACUCGUUCAAUAACAUCACUAAGGUAUUAAUUAGGUAGUGCAUAAUGAAGGACCUGAGUAUUAUAUUCAAGGAUGGUCUUACACAGGUACAAUAAAAGAGCAGUAACGCUGACGGUGGGGUUUUUGUUCGUUUGAGUUGGAUGAUAAAAUAAAUCCGCUUGUUUGCCUUCUUAACGAUAUUGUUGACAUGCUGGUUCCAUUUUAGAUCGUUACUAGUCGUUAGGCCCAAGAUUUUGACAUGAUUAACAAUGUCUAAAUUACUGCCGUUGAUACGGAUAUUUGAAAAAUCUAAUUCUUCCUCUCCAAAGUGUAUGAAAAAUCUAUUCGUCCCUUCUAAACUCUUUACAUUUGGUGCGUUACUGGUUAUGUUGGAGGAAAACAUGGUCCAAAUACAAUAGCUGUUAAUGAGAUUCUUUUGUUAGCUCUCCUCCAAUAUGGCCGCCAUGACAUCAAUUGCAAACCAAGAAUUGAGUUGCAAACGUUACAUUUGGCGCUAUUGAGUUGUAGCCGAUACAACACGGUCGCUCAUGUUGUAAAUAGUUUGAUAGUUUCAAGGAAUUUUUUUCUUUCACUAAAUGCUUCAUAGUUUUUUCUUAAAUUGCACUCUUUGCAUGAUUACCCCCCUCGUUCCCAGGAUAUGUAAUGGACCACCCCUUAGAUUUGACUUCUACCGCUAACUAGAAAAGUGAUGGGGGUUGCGGGGGAUUCGCGCAAAGGAACACAAAAGAAAAAAUUCGUGCAAAUAGGAAAGCAAAGAAAAACCCUUAAAAUUCGGGAGAAAACAUUCGAGGGGGGGGGGGGGAAUUGUGCAAGCUGAAUUCUCCCUCCCCCUUUUAACCUAAAGGUAACGGUGAGGGUAGUGGAAGUCAAAUGUAGACUUCACUAAUGUCAGUAAGAGGAAUAUGUAGACAGGUCCGAGGACACUCUACAUGCGAAAACAGUCUUUUAAAAAAGGUGGCUCCCUACACUUUUUAAAUUAAAGAUUUUCUGAUUUGGAUAUGAUUUUCUGGACAAUUAUUACUUGUUUAAAAUCGAAGAGUAUCUGACUGGCAUAACAUAAUAACUAAAGAGUUCAGAAUUUUUCAAAAACUACUCCUAACAGCCGUUGCUAUGGCAACAAUGACGUCACAACAAGGCGGAUAUUUUAUGUUUAAAGUAAUUUAACUCGAAAAAAACUUCGGUGACCCCCAUUUUUUAUUUUAUAAAAUGAUUUCUAUUGGUAUUUUGAAUUAUUUUCAUGAAUUAAAAAUGCCAAAAUUUUUUAAGAUAGGAAAAUGUGAAAACUCGUAAUGAUUUUUUUUUAAAUCAUGAAAAUAAUUCAAAAUAAUAAAAGAAAUCAUUUUAUGAAAUAAAAAUGGGGGUCACAUAUGUCCUUCUUGUAGGUCUAUUGGCAGCUCUUCCUGUUGUUAAUCAAUAAACGGCGAAGGUGUAUUACUGGGGAGAAUGCUACACUGCACCAUCCCAGUCUCUUCCUCAGAGUGACUGUACAAUGUUCAUCCUUAUCUUAAAAUUAGAAUUAGGGUUAGUACUAUAGCGCAUGGGUAAGGAUUAUGAUUAUUUUCCUAAAUGAUUUCUAUUAAUAAUUUGUUUCUACGUUGGUAUGUGCAGUCAACCUGAGCAAGAGACUGGGCUGUCUGUUCAGUGGUAUUAGAGAACUUUUAUUGAAGUUUUAUGUGGUUUUCGUAGUGUAAAUUCCUAGUUAUAAUUUAUGUGUGGGGUUGCCUUGUUGGGACUUCGAGUCCGUCCGCCGAUCCCAUAUCUAACUCGCCUUUGUUUGUUGUAUUAAUAUCUUUUGUUUCGUUCUCACAUAGUAGUGUAAAUUUCGCGAGUUUGAUUAAAGCUUCUUAUUAAAAUAUCCGGCAGCAACGGCAGUACUCCUUAGUUUUUAUGUUAUAUACAAGUCAGAUACUCUUGGUUUUAAAAACAAAUAAUACUCCAGAAAUUCAUAUCCAAAUCAGAAAAUCUUUAAUUUCUAAAAAAGUGUAGCGAGUCACCAAGUCUGCCUCCUCCGCAGGCUCUUGGCACAUAUCAGUCGUAAAUAUAGAUCAGUGGAGGCAGAUCUUGAAUCGUAUACGUGAUGAUGUAAGAUGACACGGAAAACCGCAGAUAACUCAAUUAGUCCGCACAUAUCUGUUCAUGUUUGAAUAACAUUUUCUGCCGUCCAAACUAGCCCUUAGAACAUGAUACUUUUGUCUCAGGUUGAAUCUAAAAUCUUCGUUGGUAAUAGGGUUGGUUAGUGAGUGACUUUACAAUAUGAAAGAUAGGUUUACUGUGUAGAGCAGGAUAACUUAUCACUGUAUCCAGUCCGAGACCAGCGUGAUUGUGCUAAUAAAUCGCUCAUGCAUAACAAUCCUCCGUAUUUAAAAGUCUCCACUUUCAAAGCCAUUUUCGAGAAGCCCAUGUUUACGGACGAAGGAAUGUAUGAAUGGUCUAUUUUCCAUCAUGUUAGUGUAUACGAUCGGAGAAAAGUACAAAUGUAUGCGUUUUCAAACGAAAUCGAUUAGUGACGACGGCUCCUGAACAAAAUAUGAACUAUAUAUACUACCUUCGAAGACGAUGUUGUUCCGUUGCUCGACGCAUUAGAAGAUACGGUUAUCAUGGUAGGCAUACUGGGUGAAGAUGCACCUUGACCUGCUAACGGCAUGCACAGUAAAAAUGCUGUCAACAAUUGAUAUAUCUCGUGUCUACGGCAAAAAACCAUCAUUGCAAAAUACUUUACUUCAGAUCUGAGAGACUGAGCAUAAACAAUGUUCACACUUCUAAGUUCCUUUUAGCAGUGUGCGGUUGAAUUACAAAAAUGCCAAGUUUAUGUGCACACUGACUGUGACGUGAUUUUGAAAUGAACCAAUAGAAGAGUAUGAGAUAAUUUAGUACAUGUCACAUGAAAGUGUUGAUCGCAUUAAAUUUUCUCAAAAAAUCGUUUCACAGAUAAUCCAUUUAUUAGGCCUACACAUGUGUUUUGCAUGGAUGGUACACAUGGCGUGUUGUCGUGAUUAUGGAAAACAUUAAACAGAUCAGCUUUAUCUUCAAGUACACGUUAAAUUAAAUCAAUCUUGUCCUUGAGCUUGUAUUAUUCUGUUUAUGAGAGAUAGAAGUUAGAAUAAAAUAGCCAUCCUGAACUAUUUAUAUGUAAUAUACCAGUAUUGACAACAAACUAAAGCAGUAAUAUGUGUAGAGAUACUAAAUACGACAGAAUUUCGGACCUAAACUCGUUGUUUCUUCCUGAGCUUAUUUGCAUGAGAAGUUCAACAGUUAUAGGCGCAACUCAUGCUACGACGUUUACACUGUAACAGAUAGCUUUCCGUAGCGACGUGAAAAACAUCUAUUCGUACCUUUUAGGAACGCUAUUUUCAGAGGAAUUAUUGUAACGGAGAGAUGUUGUUUCGUUCAGCUUCUGAAAGUAGUAGAUGAGUGAAUGCAUUCUAUAUUUUUUAUUUAAACCCGUCAUCUGUAUGCAAUUCGACUAAACGGCUUCUGAAAAAACGCCGAAACUUUAAGGCGCGUAAAGCUGUAUUUUAUCUAUUGCUCAUGCAUACUCCAUUAAGUCCAUUUUAUUAACCGCUUCUUCGCUUUUGUCGCUAUUUUUUAAAAUUAGCAAUUCAGGGUGAAAGAUCAUUAUUUUGCAAUUUGUACAUUAUAAGUUGGACGUUUGUACCGGGUUUAGUAAGUGCAGGCAUAUGUCAUCAGGUGAAGUUGUUAUUUGAGGCAUGUAGUAAAACACUGACUACCGGAACACCGCCGGAACACCACCGGAACACCACCUAACCCUAACCCCAACCCUAACCCCCAAUCCUAACCCUAACCCCAACCCUAACCCCCAAUCCUAACCCUAACCCCAAACCCUAACCCCAAACAAAAUGGUGGUGUUCCGGUGUUCCGGUGGUGUUCCGGUGUUCCGGUAGUCAGUGUUUUACUACAUGCCGUUAUUUGAUAAUAAAACGUGCUGUGGACAAUGGUUGACCAUGAGGCAUGAGUCCGCAUGACUAUAUUUGAGGGAAUUUAUGCUUAUUUUCUCAUGGAACGUCAAACGUUUUGUAAAGACUUCUACAAACCAAUCUAUGGUUUGAUAUGCUGCAAUUUUCCUCUCCUGACGUAUGUGAACGAGUAGAUGAGUUAUGAAUAUUUAGAUGAUUGUACAUAUAGUGAUAUACUCAGAACAUUCAUAACUUAUUCACUCGUUCACAUCCAUCAGAAAAAAAGAAAAUCGCGCUAGAAAUUGCAGCAAGCAUCUGAUAAAACACGCACUGCGAAUGUUUUAAAUUGCUUCAAAAACGAUCGAUCUAGUAGUAAGUUCACUGGCGAAGUAAUUAAGUCGAAAAGUUAUAUAAAUCAAAGGAAAUCUCUUUCACAUAUAAAGAAUACGACACACUUAUGAUUUUUCUUUGUGUUUUCCUCAUGAAUUAUUAAUGAGUUUUUGAAGGCCGUUUAACGGUACCGUAUCGUUUUCUUUUGUUUGAAAGUAAUUAGUUCCAUCAGCAUUUGGCAGUUAGGGUUAGGGUUGACAUAAUUAUGGACGCAAGUCAACUCUGACCCUAUAAAUUAUAACACAAAUUUGGCAGCAAGACUGGACUGAGUGUUAUUGUUCUUAAUUAACAUCUGGAGAAUAGUUCAGAAAUGUCUUAAUUCAUAUCAUCGCCACUCCUUUUGCACAAACUUGAAAAAGUUCGUGAACAAAAGUUUCACGCCAACUAAAUGAUUCGCACGAAUCACGAUUUUUCAUUAGCGCAUUACGCUUUCCAGUUCACCGAUAUAACACAAAUUGAUCUGGAUCUAAAUUAAAAUCCUGCAGAUUAACUUUUUCUUGUGAUUGAAAACAGAAAUCUGGCGACGUGCACCAAAACAAUUACUGCUACGUGUCGCGCAUAAUUCGUCUGUGAAUUAAGAUCUUAAGAUGAUAUUCAAAAUGUACAUCAACACCGUGAUUAAGUUCAAUCAUAUUCCAGUCUCUUCUGUUCAUGUUUAUUCAAAUUUGCGCACGGUACGAGGAAUUUUUCGCCCCGUAGUCUUGAAAUAUUAAUAAGCAAUUCUAUAAUUAUCUUCUUGACUGGAUAAAUAUUUGUGUUUUGACAUGCUGAUGUUAUUCCAACUUAUUUGUAUGCAGCGAUGGUAAUCUGGGCUUAUGAGUUAUGUUCAAAAUCUCAGUUGAAUAGACACCCAUGCCCUCCUCCGCAAGCAACUCUAUAGUUACAGCCAUAGAUAUCUUAUAUACACUAGAUAGCGCAUCUCUUUUAGUAAAAUUGAAGCCAAGAAUAUUCCAGCGGUUACCCCCAUUUGAAUUGUUACCCAAUUUUUGAAUUGCAAAAUAAUUAGAUGCACUAUCUAGUGUAUAUAAGAUAUCUAUGGUUAUACAGCUGUUAAUAAUUAUAUUGUACUCAAAAAAUUUUUCCAAACAAAUUUUGCCUCACGUUCGUUCAAACAUAUUUGACAACUUUAGAUAUAACUCACAAGCGUCGUGACAAUUGUUCUAGUUUACCACGAGUUUACAGAGUCAUAGAAUAGAAUCCUCGUUGACAUCAGUAAUCAUCACUGAAGAGGUCACCCUACGGAAAUAAAUGUGCGGUUUGAUUUGAACAAAGGGAGUUUAGGUUUUUGUCGAGGGUCGAGUGUCGAGGGUCCAAUGUCGAGGGUGAGGGUAAAAAGUCGAGGGUGAGGGUAAAAAGUCGAGGGUGAGGGUAAAAAGUGGAGGGUCAUAUACAAAAGUCGAGGGUUGUAUUUACGACAACUAAGACAAUUACUAACGAUAAAAGAGUUUUUAAAACGGUUUUUCUCCUUAUGUAAAUCAUGAAUUGAGGGACAAUUCUGGUCUAGAAACUAACUCAUUAAGUUUAUGGUUUGGGUCGUCUGGUUAAAAAGUUUCACGCACGCAGCAUGUCUUCUAGCGAGUAAUGUCUCCAGGCCACUUUUGAUUAACUUAAGGCAUUCUUAGUAAAAAGGCGGAAUUUUUUCAUUAAAAGCAAAGUUAAAGAGUAUUUAUUAUCAAUAGUACACUUAAAAGAAUUUCUAAACGUAGUAUAAUUUCAUAAACAGGCCAAUGGCAAUGUUCAACCUCGCAUCAAGCAAAGGUCUCCGUCCCGCCGCAGGUAUGGAGACCCUUGCUUGCGAGGUUGGUCAAUGACAAUGUUUGGUUAAUCACUUAGCGUUCAUUGGUUUCUUGAAACAGUGGCAUGUCUGCACCGCGCUAACCGCGCUCCGAUCUAGCAGAAAACACACAAGUUUUUUAAUCAUAACUUGCUAUUGGUAAUAUAUUUUGCCUUAAUAUAUUGUCAUUACUGGCUUGAGGAUUACAGUUACCCGAUAAUCUGUGCUGUUACGUUAAUUUGAUAAGAAAGCAAAGAGACCGUUCUCAUAUUAGACAUAAACAUGUUAACUAGCGAGCGUGAAGGGGCUUAGAAAAUAAUCGCUUAGCUAGAAAAUUUACGCAAGGUAGUAUCUUUUAAAAGUUAAUGUAGUUCUGCAUACAUAUAUAUGAUAAGUCCAUGUCACAACAUUAAACAAGUUAUUUUGCCCGCAAAUUUCGACCCUCGACUUUUUUUAUGACCCUCGAAUUUUUACCCUCGCCCUCGACUUUUUACCCUCACCCUCGAUUUUUUACCCUCAUCCUCGACAUUGGACCCUCGACCCUCGACAAAAACCUAAACUCCAACAAAGGUAACCAAGCAUAUUAGAAUUAUAGACAUGAGUGAAUACCCAUUGUACAUUUUUCUAAUGCUUAGUUACCUUUGUUCUUUGACUAUGCUCCUGUGAACUACAGUGGAGCUAAACUUGAGCAACCGUAGCCAGGCAUAUAUGAGUUAUCUAUAGACCGUCUGCAUGGGAUCAAGUCAUAGCGCCGAUAAUAGUGACUUUUUCGAGUAUUCUAAAAUUGGCCGUUGAUUGGUAUAACCCAGCUUAAUGAUGAGCUAAUGGCCGUUUUCCAUUUCAACCGUAUCGAAGCGUAGCCGAUAUUUCUUUGUUUCCUCAAAAGAAAAUUCUACUAUACGUUAUGUUACGGUUGAAAUGCAUGGGAAAACGGCCCAGAAACGUAGCAAAUACAGUAUGAUGAAUAUUUAAUAUCAAAUGGCGCGACGGGAUUACUUAUGAAUAUUAUGAAUAUUGUAGGAAGUAAUAGGAUGAUAUGGAGGAUAAGAUGCGCUUACGAUUACGCGGACGUGACAAAAAAAAUAAACCGUUAUUUUUGUUUUGCCGGUUUACUGAUUUGUUUUUCAUCUGCAUCAGUCCUCGUCGAAAAUUAAUAUUCAUACUCGUGUUGUCCUCACGCCCGCGCGCUAGAUUUAUCUCAUAUUAUUUACGUUGCUCAGGUUUAUUCUCGUAUCGUUCUUCGUACGUUUCUGAUAAAAAAAUCUUUAAUUAUUGAUAUUAAUUAAAAGUUUUCUGAGAACACAAUUUAUCGUUGAAAAACUUGAUUUGUACAAAGAGAAUACAAAUUGCUAUAUGGAAACGUGCCAAAGCAAAGCGCGUCUUUGCGGUCUUGUACGUGAGGGAGAUUACAAGGUCAAAUCGAACAUAGUCAUAGAACAAAACAUUUGACAAGUGCCGUCGAAGUCAGACUUGUUAUGUUGACCUGUUCAGUAGUUUUAUUAUGUAGACCCUUAUAACCUUAGGUAUAUAUUGUUCGUCGCUAUAGCUACACUUGGAACCACACUUUCAAAGUCUUCCCUGUUCCAUAUUCUAUGUUAAAAAUUCUUGCCAAAGUUUUAAGGUACUUUUCACGCACUCAAUGUGAUGAAUGAGUCCGGGUAAUAAAACAGCAAUAUUACGAUCAUUUGAUGUACCAGGCCUAGAAAAUAUAUUUUUCUUCUAGCUGGCAGCAAAAUUCAGAAAUAGAAAUUUCCGGUGUGUAUGUAUAAGUCCUCAUGAUAGCCAAAUGUAUAAGUCCACAUUGUGAUUCUAUAGUAGUAUAGAUUCCAGAGAGAGUAUGGUGGCGCACAUUGUGAUGCUACAGUAGUAUAGAUUUCAGAGAGAGUAUGGUGGCGCACAUUGUGAUGCUACAGUAGUAUAGAUUUCAGAGAGAGUAUGGUGGCGCACAUUGUGAUGCUAUAGUAGUAUAGAUUUCAGAGAGUAUGGUGGCGCACAUUGUGAUGCUACAGUAGUAUAGAUUUCAGAGAGAGUAUGGUGGCGCACAUUGUGAUGCUACAGUAGUAUAGAUUUCAGAGAGAGUAUGGUGGCGCACAUUGUGAUGCUAUUGUAGUAUAGAUUUCAGAGAGAGUAUGGUGGCGCACAUUGUGAUGCUACAGUAGUAUAGAUUUCAGAGAGAGUAUGGUGGCGCACAUUGUGAUGCUACAGUAGUAUAGAUUUCAGAGAGAGUAUGGUGGCGCACAUUGUGAUGCUAUUGUAGUAUAGAUUUCAGAGAGAGUAUGGUGGCGCACAUUGUGAUGCUAUGGUAGUAUAGAUUCCAAAGAGAGUAUGGUGGCGCACAUUGUGAUGCUAUAGUAGUAUAGAUUUCAAAGAGAGUAUGGUGGCGCACAUUGUGAUGCUACAGUAGUAUAGAUUUCAAAGAGAGUAUGGUGGCGCACAUUGUGAUGCUAUAGUAGUAUAGAUUUCAAAGAGAGUAUGGUGGCGCACAUUGUGAUGCUAUAGUAGUAUAGAUUUCAAAGAGAGUAUGGUGGCGCACAUUGUGAUGCUACAGUAGUAUAGAUUUCAAAGAGAGUAUGGUGGCGCACAUUGUGAUGCUACAGUAGUAUAGAUUUCAAAGAGAGUAUGGUGGCGCACAUUGUGAUGCUAUUGUAGUAUAGAUUUCAGAGAGAGUAUGGUGGCGCACAUUGUGAUGCUAUGGUAGUAUAGAUUCCAAAGAGAGUAUGGUGGCGCACAUUGUGAUGCUAUAGUAGUAUAGAUUUCAAAGAGAGUAUGGUGGUGCACAUUGUGAUGCUAUAGUAGUAUAGAUUUCAAAGAGAGUAUGGUGGCGCACAUUGUGAUGCUAUAGUAGUAUAGAUUUCAAAGAGAGUAUGGUGGUGCACAUUGUGAUGCUAUAGUAGUAUAGAUUUCAGAGAGAGUAUGGUGGCGCACAUUGUGAUGCCAUAGUAGUAUAAAUUUCAGAGAGAGUAUGGUGGCACACAUUGUGAUAAACUUCCAUCUUGGUACAAGACAAUCUCGACUUGCAAAAUGCUUUUGUAAACACAAUAAGUAAAUUAUAUGGCAUUCCAGUAUAUGAGAUGACAAACAUUUCCUGCUAUAGGCCAAGGUGUAAGAAAAUUUCCUGGGAAGAUAUUUUGUUAGAAAUUUCCUGGCAGCGGUGCUGCUGUCGCUUCCGGACAUUUUCCUGCUCAGCGAUAUGCUUAUACGUCUUAUAUAUGCUAGCAAACCAAAGGUCAUGGGUUCGAUUCCCACCGCGUUCAAGAAAACUUUUCGCUUGCCCGGUGUGAACACACUCAGAGAAACAUCGCAAUCAAAUAUAUAACUAUUUGUCAUUUACCCAAGCUGUGCCCUUUUUAUUCAACCUCUUUGAGGAUGCUGCAUAUGCCGGCUUUCUCAUCCUCUCGACAUUCCCUUCUUAUGAAAUUCGGCCGUGAGACUUUGCCCCAGCAGUUGUGUUAAAAAUCCCCAGAUGAGUCUAAUCUCUUGCACAUGAACAUAGCAAACACCUGUUCAAAUAUAGAGUAAAUCUGACAACUGAAGAGAUUACAUACAGUAUAAUCCGCGGAUUAUAGUACACUUAAUAUUUAUUUAUUACACUUAAUAUUUACGUUCACCAUAGAUACAGCCACAAUACAGGCUGUUCCAGAAAAUAGCUUUGUUCCAGAUUUUUACACAGCUGUUAGAGAGCUGUGAGCAUCGUAAAUUGAAUCUAAGAGACAAAUUUUGAGACAAAUAUUCUAAAAGCUCACUCACACUCAGAGAAGAGUGGAGGUUCAAUCUGAGCUUCCCUUGAGUGUCAGUGCUGUUUUUGAAUAGCUGAAGGGUUAGUGUCGUACCUUACUAUGACCUAUGUGACUACUCGCCCUCCAGCUAUUCAAAUACAGCACUGACACUCAAGAGAAGCUCAGAUUGAACCUCCACUCUUUGAGUGUGAGUAAGCUUUCAGAAUACAGGCGUAAGAUUACUAAACUUGAUCUACCGGGUGCCCCCCCCCCAAAAAAAAAAAACAACUGGACACUGUUUGAUUUCAUGUAACGUAAAAGCUAUAAAAUCUUUCGUAAUGACAUAAAGAUCAUUGCAUUAAAAAAGGACUAAGUGCCCCCCCCCAAAAAAAAAACUGGACACUGUUUGAUUUCAUGUAACGUAAAAGCUAUAAAAUCUUUCGUAAUGACAUAAAGAUCAUUGCAUUAAAAAAGGACUAAGUGCCCCCCCCCCCCAAAAAAAAAACUGGACACUGUUUGCUUUCAUGUAACGCAAAAGCUAUAAAAGCUUUCGUAAUGACAUAAAGAUCAUUGCAUUCAAAAAGGACUAACUUAUAUUUUGAUAUAUAACACUUGAAUUUACAUGCAAUAUUGAGCGAGAUACGACCAAAAUAAAGACAUUUAUCAUUUAACAAGUAUAACUACAUCGGUAAGAGUUGUUCAACGUUCAAACAUCAAUAGCGCAGUUCUUCUAAACAUCAAUAGCGCAGUUCCGGUAGUAGAAGCGAUGUUACGGGCGGCUAUUUGUGCCUCUUGAUACUUUACACAACUAAUACAUGAUUUGGGUGAAUAUAAUUAGACUUUAUUUUAAAGCCAUAACAGUCGUUCUACUAUAGACCAAUUUACUCUUAGUGUCAAAAUUCAUCUCUUAGAUUUUGAUACCUGUCACGUUUUAGGGGGAUCCAUGGGCGUACCAAUCUCGUCGUGGCAAAGUGGGAUCAUAUAAACAGCCUCUUAUUCAGCCUUUGAUCCCUUGGGAGUGAGGCAGCACUUUCCUUGCGAUAGUAACUUCUUCUAGACUUUUGUAAUUUUGUAUUCCUUUGUAUUUUAAACAUAAACCUUACUCUAAUCCUAACCCUAUCUUAAUCCUUUCCCUAAUCUAAAUCCUAAUCCUAAAAGUCUAAAAAUAGUAACUCCCUCUAAAACGUGACUGGCAUAUGCUUAGAUUAAAUUUCCGAUGCCCACUAAUACAUAGCUGUGUAAAAAUCUCGAACAUAUACCUAUUGCAUUUUUUUUCGGGACAUCUUCGUGGGAAUUAGCGGUUAAAGAAUUGGAUUAUAAGGAAAGAUCCAUGCGAACCACAUUCCAGCGGCUUGCGCCCAUCACACCUUUACAAAUAGUGGUGAAAAAAUAAUAAUCUUUUGUGAAAAAAUAAUAACGUUUUGCUUUAGACCGUAACACUUUGCGCGCCAAUCAGCAAAUAACCAUAUGUUGCGCGAGCAGCGCAUGCAAGGCAGACCUCAACAGCGGCACCCAACAUUCGGAUCAUGCAUGGUUUACUAGCUAUUGACUAAAAAGGUACAGUUCAGCCUUUUGAUUGAUGGUUUUUAAGGUAUAUUUCAGCCCUUUUUAUUGAAGAAACUAACUAGGAAAAUCAAUUAUGCAUAAUUCAAAAUCAGUAAACUCAUUGUUUUUAACAAUAAAAAUGUUUUAAAAUGUUAAAAACAUUAAGUUUGCCGAUCUUGAAUUAUGCAUAAUUGUUAGUUUCUUCAAUAAAAAGGGCUGAAAUGCGCCUUAAAAAUCAUCAUUCAAUGAACUGUGCCUUUAAUAUAUAACCUCAUUAGUUAUUUUCCUUCAAAUGGCGUUCAUAUCACAGACCCAGCUCGAUUUGUAGGGUGGUAAAAGCACAGCGUCUGCUCAGCUUUAGUAGCCCAUUAAAGCAGGCGGUCUACACCUGAACAGCGGGCGAGACGAAGAACGCUUCGCCCGACUUUUAGGUGCGCCUCGCGGGUCUGCCUGCAUGCAGGCUAGAGUUGGGUAGUUACAAUCUGAAUUUCAAUAUCUAUUUCAGCAUUGUUGUGGAAGUGCGAUAGAAGACUUCUUGAACAAUUGUGAAAUUCAUACAUGGAGGUACGAUUUUACUCUUUAUUCUAUAUAUA